UUGUGUUAAUUUGACAACAUUGAAUGAGCAGCGUGAAAUCCAAUCUGGUGGACUGAUUUGCUUUUCCAAUAGGCACAAAAACAAUAUGACUGUCACUCUUGAUUAUAAAACUUAAGACCUUGAUUCCUACUUAAUUUUGCAAUUUUGUUUUCUUGACUCUCUAGUUUUAACUGGAGUUGCCACUAUGAAGAGGUCCCAUAAUCCCUUGUAGUUUUAGCUUCUACCCUUUGCAAGAGACUUGGUUUUCUAUGCAGAAACUGACAAGGUGGUAAUUGCCUCUGUUAAUAAAAUGAUGAACCUCCCUAUAUCCAAAUUUUAAACUGAAGCAUUAUUUGUUGUUCUCAAAAUGAAAUGCUGUGCCUGUCUCUAAGUGUAAUAUUCUUGUUCAUUGUGAAUUUGAUGUCAUUACCUCAAUGAAUGCCAAACUCACCUCAAAGCAGUUGUUUAUAGAUGUUGAUUUUGACAAUUGGUGAGUUAACUAUGACAAUUUUGUGUAGUUAAAUUCGUUUGUAAGAGUUUAUUUCUGGCUUCUUAUUUUUUUUUCCUCUCAUUAUGCGGCUUCUAAAAUGUAGGAUGGAAAUCAUUGUGAUGAAGGUCAUUUUCAUCUAUCAACUCUCUUCACCUCAUUCCUUUCAACAUUGGGAUUUAUGCACGAUAAAUACCUGAAGUUGAAGUUUCAUCUCCCUUGGCUAGAGAAACUGCUGAUUGCAAUGACUUUCAUAUGUGCAAUAAUGAAUGGCUGUGGAUGAACUUCGACUUGCCGUCACAUUUUAACAUCUUGGGACUGUAGAAUUUCUUUAUUGAUGGCUUCUUCAGAUAAGUGAAAGAAAAGCACAUCCAUCAAUCAUAGCAAUUCUUGCACUUGCAAAUAGUUGUAAAAUUCCAUCUCUUGUAAGGCAAGUAAAUCCUGCUCUCUUUAAAUUUCUCAAGUUACUGUACAUGAUUCCAUAGCUUUCCUUUGAUGCUUGAGCAUGUUGGAUUAAAUGUAUAAUACAUUCAAAGGAAACUUUAUAAUGCUCAAAUUUAGUUGUAGUCCUGAAAUUACAUUAAACCUAUCAAAUCAGAUUCCUUGUUUACUUUGUAAACUGACUCGAAGAUUUUUUUUUUCAUUAAGGUUUGACUGUUCAACAUUCCCAAUGAUGUUCAUGUGCAUUACUGUUGUUGUUGAGUGAUUGGUUCUCUCCCCAUUUACAUCAUCAUUUGGGCAGUAGUCAUUCUAUGUGAAUAAUGGCAUGAAUCAUUGACCCAUAAUUGAAAGUUAAAUAUGGAGUGACUAUGAGUCUCUUCCAUCAAAGCAUCGACCUGUAUCUUCGUGGAUCCCUCUGCCGCUAAAUCACCUCAAGUGGAACGUUGAAGGUUCCUCCCUAGGAUUGAUGAUUCAAGCGCCGCAGAGUUAAAGGCCAUUCAAAAAGCGUUUGUUGUCUGUUUCUCCUCCUCUUUACCCUACUAAUGCUGUCGGUAUCCUUAUUGAAACUGACCCUAAGAUCGCUGUGUCUUGGGUGAAUAACGAUGACACUAAGACAGUACACCUCGGCGUCUCUCCUCUGUGCUGAACUCUAUUAGCUGCAACCUAAAGCGCCUCCCUAAUGCCGGGGUGAGUCAUGCUCCUAGAGCAGUGAAUUGCUUCGCUGACUCUCUUGCAAACAGGGAUUGUACCGCAAUUGUAUCUGUUAGCUUUGUUAUAAUUGCUUUGCGUCACUUUCUGUUGACAUAGGUAGAAGGUCUUGCUUCAUUAGGUUGGGUGUAAGGGAUAUGCCUGCUGGCAUGGGUUUAGUUGGACGCAGCCUUCUAUCCAUUUCUCUUUUCAUUAAUAAAUUGCAUUUUGCUUGUAUAUAAAAAAGGGAAGUAUUAUGUAUUGAUUUAAAAUAUUAUACACAGUUUUCAAUUGUAUGAAGCGUUUUUUGAGAAA